UACGGGGGGGGCAAGCGUUGUUCGGAAUUACUGGGCGUAAAGGGUUCGUAGGUGGCCUGCUAAGUCAGACGUGAAAUCCCUCAGCUUAACUGGGGAACUGCGUCUGAUACUGGAAGGCUUGAGUGCAGGAGAGGAACGCGGAAUUCCAGGUGUAGCGGUGAAAUGCGUAGAUAUCUGGAGGAACACCGGUGGCGAAGGCGGCGUUCUGGACUGCAACUGACACUGAUGAACGAAAGCCAGGGGAGCAAACGGG
rnacentral:rRNA from 1 species